UACGUAGGGUGCGAGCGUUGUCCGGAAUUAUUGGGCGUAAAGGGCUCGUAGGCGGUUUGUCGCGUCGGGAGUGAAAACACUGGGCUUAACUCAGUGCUUGCUUUCGAUACGGGCAGACUAGAGGUAUUCAGGGGAGAACGGAAUUCCUGGUGUAGCGGUGAAAUGCGCAGAUAUCAGGAGGAACACCGGUGGCGAAGGCGGCUUGCUGGGCCUUACCUGACGCUGAGGAGCGAAAGCGUGGGGAGCGAACAGG
rnacentral:rRNA from 1 species